rfam:Ictidomys tridecemlineatus contig023584, whole genome shotgun sequence.
GAGGUUGUAGCUCAGUGGUAGUGUGCUUGCUUAGCAUGCAUGAGGCACUGGGUUCGAUUCUCAGCACCACA